AGAGCAUGUUACUACAAUACUGAAAUGGAUAAUGGCCACCUUUUGGUGACAGAACUGAGUUCAUGCCCACAGCUCUCUCCUGACUAUCCUGCUGCUGCUAACUGGAUAUUGUAUGCCACCCAGAUCAAACAGCUUCCAUCAAACAAUGAUCUCUUCUCCUUCACGGAACUCACUGAAUCUGAGGGAAAUUGAGACAUUUAUCAGCAAGACCUCUGUUAUCAUCUCACAAGAUGGUAGAGAAGCAGCAAGAUGAAAGUUAUGUCCUGGGUGCCUUUGAUGGGCUACAUGUUGUUGAAGGACAGUGUUAUUUGCAGAUCUGCACUCUGCCCAGCAGAGCACAUGUGGGCAGCCUGUGGAGACGGCUCAGACCAAGUUUGAGAUGUUCUCCCUCAGUGGCACGUUUGGCACCAGCUACGUCUUCCCAGAAGUGUUGUACAGCGGGGUGCAGCUGGCCCCCGGGGAGUUCGAGGUGCUAA
rnacentral:lncRNA from 12 species